CUGAAGUCUGGGGUCAUUUGGUUUCUUUUUCUUCUUCUGUAAAUUGGAAAGCAGUGGGAAAAUUACAAAGUAUCUUUUUAAAACUCAGGUGGUUUGCAUAGCUAUUUGUCUGUUUGAGUUUGUUGUUCCUGUGAUUUAAAAGAUUGUCUCCACUUAACUGGAAAUAAGCCAAAUGUCUAUCAAUAGAGAACUGGUUGCAUCAACUCCUGCAUCUCCACACAAUGCAGUACUAUGAGCUGCAAAUGGAAAGCAGGAUGUUUCUAUAUUCAACUGUGGAAGGAUCUCCAGGAUAUACUGUUACAUUAAGAAAGAAGGGUGGAUGAGACGGAAAAGUUUGCCUGAUGUAAUGGAUCUAGGCGAUGAGUAUCCAUGGCUACCAACACGAGACAGACAACCAGAAAUGAUGUGCGUUGUGACGGAAGUACAUAUCCCUGUUCAGUAUAUACGUAAGCCUCUAGGUCUGACUGUCAGUAUAACCAGCCUGAGCUUCAGCUAUUGCUCCCUAACUGAGAAUGAGAUGCAAGAGAAGUCUCACUAGGAAAGGAGUCAGAGCUACGGGAAUUUUCAAGAGAACUUUAAAAAUUCUUCACUUAAAACUCUCUUUUUAAAAGAAAUCCUCGUGGAGCAUACCAACUACUGAAAUCAGAAAGACUUUUAUCAUUGCAAUUGUAACAAUAUUAAUUAUGCAUAGUUUAUUACUGUAUUAAGUGUAGGUGGAAUCUAUUUCAAGAAAACACAAUAAAGCCUAAACCAAAAUAAGCAAGCUAGGAGUCGACUGUUCAUAUUUCAAAAGGAUUCUCCAAUUUUAACAGGAUUCAUUGCUGUUUUUUUCACAAGCUUUAAUACCCCUGUGGUUUUAAAAAAAUCAUUUUAAAAAUUUAAUUUACACAUAAUUUUUCAGGAACUCAUCUAUUGUAUGAAAUGAUGCACAACUCUGCAUGUGUAUAGAUAAUGCUAUAAACAAAGGGCUCAUAAAAUUUUCCCAUAAAUUAUCUCAUUAGCUGGGACUAUACGAAUGAAUAUAAGCAUUGGUUAGAAUGCCUAAGAAGCCACUAGAAAAAAAAAAUUCUUGCAUUAUUUACUUUUUAUGAAUAUAUGUAAGUGCUCUACAUUGCUUAGUUCCUAGCAAAAACUAAGAACUCUAAUAUGCCCAUGAGGCCCUUCCCUGAUGACUCAUUUAUUAGAAAACUUUUCCUUAUAAACGAUACAAAAAUAAACUUCAGCUCACCUGGUAGAAUCACAGAAAAUUUGAAUUAGUAAAGUAAAACUUGAAGACCCAUAGGUAACAAAUACUUCAUGUUACCCACAGAGUCCCCAUGUCAGAACUGUCUGAUGUCACUGUCAGAGACACAGAAACCAGGGACCUAGACAGAGAAAGAAGUUCCAUGGUCCUAACCGCCGGGAUGCAACUGUGGUUUGGGAGUGGCAAAUGAGGGCUCUCAACUAACAUGAAUGUCUUGAAAACAACUAUCAAGUCUCAGAAAAGGAGAAUUUUGAAAUCAUAGUAUAUGUCCUUUGAACUACCUCCC
rnacentral:lncRNA from 10 species